rnacentral:rRNA from 1 species
UAAUCAAGGAAACUUGGAUUUAGCAAUAUAAUAUGAAAUCGGCUAAGUUCGUGCCAGCUGCCGCGGUUAUACGUGAGAUUUAAGUAAACAUUAUUAGUGGAAAGUUAGUAGUUUUUGGUUAGUUUGGAAUAAGUUUUUAAGGUAGAAUUUUAAAUUUAUAUGUAUAUCUAAAAAAGUAUUAUACGAAGCUUUGAAAUUUAAAUUAUAAACUAGGAUUAGAUACCCUAUUAUUUUUAAAUGUAAAGAGUAUACACUAGGGUAGUAAUAGAUAAGUGCUUGAAACCCAAAGAAUUUGGCGGUGUUUUAGUCUUUUCAGAGGAAUCUGUCCUGUAAUUGAUAAUACACAUUAUAGUCGAUUUGCCUUUGUUUUCAGUUUGUAUACCGCCGUCGGAAGAUUAUUUUAAUAGAAAAAUAAUUUUCGAAUAUUUUUAUUAGGAUUUAUGUCAGGUCAAGGUGCAGCUUAUAGGUAAGGAGAGAUGGAUUACAAUAAAAGGAUUUAUAUGGAUUUUACAUUGGAAAGUGUAGAUGAAGGUGGAUUUGAAAGUAAUAUUGUUAUAUUAUGACAGUUUGAUUUUAGCUCUAAAACAUGCACACAUCGCCCGUCGCUCUCAUUAAUAAGGUGAGAUAAGUCGUAACAAAGUAGGUGUACUGGAAAGUGUACCUAGAAG